rnacentral:lncRNA from 1 species
CAUUAGGUUCGAUAGUAGUUUGAUAGACGAUGUUGACGAUGGUCUUACGUGAGAUCCAUGUUUUUAAGAUGAUCUAAAUAAUGAUGUGAACUCUGACUUUACGUAGAAAUAAUCGAGAAGAAUCGAACGUACUGCAAAUGCAAGAUUUAUAUGGCCGAAAGCUGUCGAAGAAACAAAGACUCGAAACCCUGACUAGAGUUAUGUUCACGGCAAAGAACAGAUGAAUACCACCUUAGGAAGCAUAAGAGCUAACUUGACGAUCACAGGGUACCAGUGCCCAAAUCAACGAAGUUGGAUUGUAACAAGCGUUCAGCAACACAUUCCAACACUGUCAUCUCGAUUCCUCAGUCUUUCGCUUCCACCGAGCUAGCAGCGGUGCGAACAGAGUCAAGUGUGUCUCAUAACGAAGAAACAUUUGUACAACAGAAGGAAGCGAUUAUAGUACAUUAGAAUUCUUGCCUACAAAUGAAUGCAUGUGCACAUUCCGAAGCGUUGACCCAUGCUUAUGAUUAUGUUUUAUGAUUUUGGCACAUCUCCGGACACGAGACAUAUUUUGCAUGCGCACAAUAAAAGCUUUUAUGACAGUGAAAUCCAAGCUGCGUUUGAGUUUAGAAAGCAAAUCUGUGAUAUGAGUACAUUGGAUUUAAACUGAUAAUUUGCACCUAAUGUAACUGCUUUAUGAAAAAUGCAUAUUCAUGUUAAGAUUUACUAAAACUUAGUUCAAAUAAUAAAUUUCAUGAUAAACAUG